rnacentral:rRNA from 1 species
GGCAUGGUUGUCGUCAGCUCGUGUCGUGAGAUGUGGUUAGUCCGCAACGAGCGCAACCCCUAUUGUUAGUUGCCAUCAUUCAGUUGGGCACUCUAGCGAGACUGCCGGUAAUAAACCGGAGGAAGGUGGGGAUGACGUCAAAUCAUCAUGCCCCUUAUGACCUGGGCUACACACGUGCUACAAUGGUUGGUACAACGAGUUGCGAGUCGGUGACGGCGAGCUAAUCUCUUAAAGCCAAUCUCAGUUCGGAUUGUAGGCUGCAACUCGCCUACAUGAAGUCGGAAUCGCUAGUAAUCGCGGAUCAGCACGCCGCGGUGAAUACGUUCCCGGGCCUU